rnacentral:lncRNA from 1 species
UUGUGACCUGAGGACGCGUGUGUCCCCGCCCCCAGGCCACCGCUACGCGACCCUGAGUGCACCUUCAAGAAGGCCGGGCACGUUUCUGGGCGGGCGUGGGGGGUGCCUGAUAUCUCCGCUCUAUUUUACAGUUACUCCCCUGCUGGUGCCUCCCUCCUUGGCGCGCUUCCCACCUGCGAUCGGCGCCCUCUUCGCAGUCACGAACUCGCCAGCAGCUAGCAGCACUGACUAGUAGGAGGGCCCGCCGGAGGAGAGGAAGCCCCAGAGAGAUUGGUGAGGGUGAUUUCCCAGGAAGACGCAGUGUGCUCUGACUUCUGUGACAGUGAGCAACGGGACCAGUGGAUGUCCAGAUGCUGGCAAUGAGUAGGCCUUCCCUACGCUGGGUGGCGUCCACACCCUCCGGCUUCCAUUGCCUGGGUCUCCUGGAGGUGGUUUGCUGGAUGAAUACCGCAUGCACAGAGGCUGGCCUUGGGUUUGAAUAUGGCAGCCAGUGGACAGCAUGUGCUUCAGUUAUGAGGCUGCCCAGGAGAUGCUUCUUCCAAGGCAGAGCACGUGCAGAGUCCAGUGCUGGAGAGGCCGGGUGCGCAGUUGACCCAUUUCCAGUUCUAUUUUCCCUCUCAUGUUCCUCUGUCCCCAUCUAGGACAUACUCUGGAGUCAGAAGACAGCGAAAAGAGAAGCAGAAGCCCCGGUGGCAAGAGUCUGAAGCAGGAAGGAUGACUGUAGCCUGUGGAUUGUACUGCAGUAGGAAACUGUCCUAGCAAGGCUCCACCUUGCCCCAGCUUCAAGCUGGAAAGGAGGAGAACAUGAAACAUUGCUUGAAGACAAUGGCCGAGACAGCAGGUCCCACCCUGCAC